rnacentral:rRNA from 1 species
CCUACGGGGGGCUGCAGUGAGGAAUAUUGGUCAAUGGACGAGAGUCUGAACCAGCCAAGUAGCGUGAAGGAUGACUGCCCUAUGGGUUGUAAACUUCUUUUAUAUGGGAAUAAAAUGUUCCACGUGUGGGAUUUUGUAUGUACCAUAUGAAUAAGGAUCGGCUAACUUCGUGCCAGCAGCCGCGGUAAUACGGAGGAUCCGAGCGUUAUCCGGAUUUAUUGGGUUUAAAGGGAGCGUAGGUGGAUUGUUAAGUCAGUUGUGAAAGUUUGCGGGUCAACCGUAAAAUUGCAGUUUAAACUGGCAGUCUUGAGUACAGUAGAGGUGGGCGGCAUUCGUGGUGUAGCGGUGAAAUUCUUAG